rnacentral:rRNA from 1 species
UACAGAGGGUGCAAGCGUUAAUCGGAAUUACUGGGCGUAAAGCGUGCGUAGACGGUUAUGUAAGUCGGGUGUGAAAGCCCCCGGCUCAACUGGGGAGGGUCACGCGAUACUGCUCGACUUGAAGGCAGGAGAGGGAAGUGGAAUUCCCGGUGUAGUGGUGAAAUGCGUAGAUAUCGGGAGGAACACCAGUGGCGAAGGCGACUUCCUGGCCUGUUCUUGACGCUGAGGCGCGAAAGCUAGGGUAGCAAACGGG